GCGAGUGUAGCCAAGUGGUUAAGGCAAUGGGUUGUGGCUCCAUUAUCCGCGGGUUCGAUUCCCGUUAUUCGCC
rnacentral:tRNA from 1 species